UACAGAGGUCUCGAGCGUUAGGCGGAAUCACUGGGCUUAAAGCGUGUGUAGGUGGAUCGGUAAGUACCUUGUGAAAUCCCACGGCUUAACCGUGGAACUGCUUGGUAUACUGCCAGUCUUGAGCCAGCUAGGGGCUACCGGAACAAAUGGUGGAGCGGCGAAAUGCGUAGAUAUCAUUUGGAACGCCAAUGGUGAAAACAGGUAGCUGGGGCUGUGCUGACACUGAGACACGAAAGCCAGGGGAGCGAACGGG
rnacentral:rRNA from 1 species